CUUUGCAGAAACGCAGAACUCUCUGUGCUGGUUCAGCAGCUCCUGCGUUUCGGCCGCCGUUGCCCCCGGUGACGUGUGCGUGGCCAGGUAAUGGUCACCUGACUGCUGCAGCCAUUCAAGAGCCUGGAAACGAACAGAUUGAAAUUUAGAGAUUCAUAGAAAGUUACAACUGUCUUUGUUUGUUGGGCUUCUGCUAAAAAAUGCACAUUUUCUGCUCCUUUUUUAUCAUUAUUAAUGCAAUAUUAAAAAUAUUGUAAUGAUUUCUAAGCAAGAUAUUUACACAAACUGAGGAAAAGCAGCAGCUUACAUUAGUUCAGAAGCACCAGAGGGAUGAUUCUGAGAUAUUUUGAUCAUUUCUGGGUUUACCUGCUGGGCGUGGUUCUGGAACAUCAGGUACUGCUGGCACUGGUCCAGUCUGCGUUUCUUCAGCGUCCAGAAAUGAAGAACUCUGUUUUCUCUCUGGAGAAGCUCGCUGAGGAUUCCUGAGCACAAAGAAGCAUCUCUGUCAGCUAAACUACCUCCAAAAUCCCUAACUAUAGAAGCCAGUUAUCUGUGGCGUCCCUCUGGGCUCUGUUUUGGUUACACUCUUUAUUUUGACAAUAUGUGGAUUAUUUCUGUUUCUGUGAACCUUUGACUUGCUGCUCCGGCACUCUGGAGUGCCUGGUGACCUCGGUGACCCCCAUCACCGCGGAGACGGUGACGUUGUGGCCAGAGAUGUUGGCCAUGGUGACGCUGUUUCGAUGGAUGUACUUGAGGAAGACCUCCGCGUUGCGUCUGGCCAGCGUACACGCCUGUCGCAGAAGAAACAGAUCUGGUAGAGCUUGUUUCCAGAAAACAUGGAACCAGGAGGAACUCCUCAGUAAAACACAGAAUUGAAGUUAAUCCAAAGGGAAAGCCUCCUUCUGCUCCAUGUGUUUGCUGAUGAGCGGCAGCAGCUGCUCCGGCUGCCGCUCUCCUCCUGCACACCAGUCCUCCUCCCGGCGGUACUCCUGCUCCAGACUCUCCAGGACGCCACACACCUGCAUCAGCGUCUGCCAGUGCAGCGCCACCGUCUGGGCGCAGGCCCUCACUGCAUCCGGGUCGUAAUGGCCUGACCUGUGCAGAAGCAGAGACUUCCUGGUGAGCGGGUCCGUCCAGCGUUCAUGGAGGAAAUUCUGCGUCGUACCUGACGAGCAGCUCGGCUCGCUGCUGCAGAGCCAGCGCCACCUGGUGGGUUCUCUGCAGGGAGUCUGCAUGCAGCAGAGCCUGCAACACAGCUAACCUCGAUGGUCUGUUGGAGGCGCUCAUGCUCCCGCUGCAGCUGCUCGGCUUCAGACAGACAGCUGGAGUUCAGCAUGCAGGAGGACAGCUUCAUCUCCCCCUCAGAGAUCCAGCCCAGCACCUGAGAGAGGCACACACACACACACACACACA